rnacentral:misc_RNA from 1 species
AGACUAAGAAGUCUUAUGUAUAAAAAAUUACUAUAUUGUCAAGUUGGAAAUACAAACAGAGAAGUUGUUCACAACACUGCAGAAACAAUGGGACAAACAAAUGACAUGCAAAAACAAUUAUCCACUUCAUAGGAUUCUUUAUUGAACAAAAAACACAACUGUUUCGAAAGAUAUUCAACUGAAUUUUCCAAGAAAGACAUUAGCAUUGAUCAUAUUGGUUUACAAUCCAGCCACAGCUUCUACAGCAUAUCUAAUGGUCAUGACCAUGGCCAUGGCCUUCCCAGGGAUGCCUCCAGCCCAACACUACAGGACCAUCUUUCUUGGCCCGGUAUAAAAUCCAAAACCACAUGACGGCACACAAUCCUUUUCCGGUAACGGAGUGCCAACGCUUAGGUUGAUGUACAGUGAUGCCUUUGAAGGUCACGCCAUGUCCAUCUCCACCUCCCAUCUCUCUUUCUCUUCUCUUCGUUAAUCGCUGCUCCCGAAAAGCUUCAGUGGUUGAAU